UUUCUUGGAGAGUUUGAUCCUGGCUCAGGACGAACGCUGGCGGCGUGCCUAAUACAUGCAAGUUGAGCGAACCACUUCGGUGGUUAGCGGCG
rnacentral:rRNA from 1 species